CCCGUCGAUGUACCGCUGUCAGGGGAGGCAGAGGGAGAAACGCUCUUCAGGGGUCAGAGGUCUUCUCCGCCACUCAGGGAGUCCACCAAGGAAAUGGGUCCCUCGGGACAAACCUUGAGACCGAGGUCUGGGUGGAUGCAGGUCACAGGGACCCCCAGGCCACUUCUGGAUCCCGGCUGGCUCCCCUCUCCCACGAGAGCACUCACCACGCCACGGAUGGGGACAGGGGCCCCAGGAAGGAUUUCUUCACCUCGGCCACACCUACAUUGAGGACUCGGAGGUACUCGUCUGUGGAGGAAGCAGAGUGGAGCCAGUGGUGAGUGGCUCAUGACCAACAGAGGUCCACGGCGAUUUUGCCAUCUCAUCCUGCAUCCGACGAGUGGGAAAACCCGGAAUUCUGAAGCAGGACAGGUCUCUCUCAGGAAUCAACCUGUCAUUUCGCACAUGAGGAAAGCAAGGCACGGAAGGAUUAAGCCACUGGCUCCAGAGAGCCCACAGCGAGUCAGUGGUAGAACUAGAGCAGGUGUCCCGACUCCUUUCGUAUUGAGGGCAAAGGAGCACUUUCCUACCCCAAAAUAGCUUUCCCCAACUUCCUGUCCCCGAGCCUGGAAGUCCACCGCCAGACUACAUUAUUGGGGGUCUAGAGGCUUUUUGCCCUGUGUGAGAGUCCUAUUGAAGUGCCGGUACAGUUGAGGGCCCUCCCCAAGUGACACCCUGGGCCACUUGCUUGGUGCCCACUGAAUCUGUGGGCAGGGAGGGGUGCUGGCCUUGAAGCAGGUGACUUACAGGGAGGGCUGAACUUUGUCUUGAAACCAUUGCAUUGCCUUCCCUUUAUGGCCCCCGCUACGGGCCUGAGAGGGAGAGGGCCCUGAAAUAUGGACCCCAGGCUGGGCUGGGGGUGUCCCCAGGAGGCGGAGAUGGCUUCUUCCCUCCUUCUGAGAGGAGCACAGCCAUGCCACGUAAGGGCUUACAGUGCCGGAUGGGGCUCGGAGAGAGGAUGUGUUGUCCCGGGUGGCAGAGCAAGGUGUAACCCCCUCCCCAGUCCUCAGAGUCCCCCCGGGGAAGUUAGGGUUGUAAGCUGAAUGAGAAGCGCCAUCAUGCUGGGUUCUCAUAGCAACACUAUGACGUAGGUAUUUCUGUCCUAAUUUUACCGAUCAGGAACCUGAGGCUCAGAGAGGUAGCAUAACUUGCCCCAGAUCAACCAUCUAGUAAGCGGAGGAAGUGGGAUUUUAACCUAGAGUCUGUGACCCCUAUGCUCCUUCCACCAAACUAAACCACAAACUUCCUGAUCUGGGCCUGUACCUGCUUCUUGCUGAUGGCUGCUCAUUUCUGCCCAGUGCAAGCCUUCUGGGAAAAUCAGGAGCAGAAAUAGCUCUGAAAAGGAUUACUAAUAUUUUGAAACACAUAUUUAAUUGUAAGACAUCCUAUACAGAAGAAUCUUCUUAUAAUUAGUGUCACAUAGCAAUGGCUACUUGAAGUUGUGCAGUCCUGAGCUCUCUGCCACUGGAGGUAAUCAAGCAGAGGGGGGAACAAGGACCUCAGAGACUUUAUUAAAGAGAUUCCUGCAUGGUGGUAAGGGCUAAGAUUUCUUCCAACUAUGAGAUUCUGGGAUUCUCACAGGCGCCUGACAAUACACCUGGGAAGUUAUCACAGGGGACAUUACUUUCUUAUUUAUAAACAGAGCAGCUGAGGCACAGAGGUUAAGGGAUGUGCCCAAAGAGAAAUACAGAAAUUUGGGGACAAACCAAAGCUAGGGGCACCCUACUCCUCUUGUGUUUUACAGUUCACAGAUUAUUCCUCUUUAAUCCUGGAGGUUGAUAGGAUAAGGAGACUCAGCAUCAUUUUACAGAUGUAGAAACUGAGGCAGAGAAAAGCUAAAUGUCUUGCCUGAGGUCAGACAGCCAGCCAGUGUUUGUUCUGACUUCAAACCCCACCUUCUCUCCCUGGGUGUUGGACCGAUCCCAGAGGCUGAGUGAGCCUGGGUUGCCAUGGUGACGGCCUUUUCUCGCCAACAUUCAGCAUCGCAGCUGCUUGUGUAUGGUAGGGACUGACCUGAGCCACAGAGUCUCUUAGCUGUCACCCCCUUACAGGGGAGGACUCUCCUGGGAGGUUGGCAGGCCCUGCAGUUUGGCCAAGGUUAGCUUUACCAUGUGCCGACUUGUACAAACAGUGCUUUCCCUCGAGGGAGGGUGGUGGCCAACCCACCAGUAGGUUAUACAGCAACUGAGCAUUUGGAUACCAAGGUGUUGGGUCACUGAGUUCUCGCCCACAAGACCAGUCGGGAUGGAGAGUCGAACCAGGGCGGGGACACGCUGUUUUUGGAAUUCUUAAUGAGCAGCUUGAAGUGGCCUUGCAAGGGUUGGUGGCCUUUCCCACAAUGCCUCAGAGUCAGGGGCACCUGGUUCAGCUGGCCCAUCCACUCCUGGACUCCCAGCAGGGGGCGCUGGCUGGGACCCAUGGAAAGAAAUCUGUUCUCGUUGUACAAGAAAUACAUGCUCAUUGUGGAAAAAAUCAUUUAAAAAAAUACAGAUAAGCAAAAAAAGAAAAAAAAAAUUAAAAUGUCCUGAAAUCCCUCCACCCAGAAAUUAACAUUUGGUUUAUGUUGUCCUAGACCAGAUCUUUCGUUUUUAUUCUUACUUAUAAGAGUACUUACAUGGGGUCAUACUAUAUACACUAUUUUGUAACUUGCAUUUUUCACCUGAUAAAUCACGUCUUUCUACAUCGAUAUGUAUCUGUGUGUAACCCAAUUUACAAGCAGCAUGGAAAGCUAUUGUAAGGUUGGACCAAUAUUUCUUGAGCAGGUCCCCAGUAGGGGUUGGCUAUUUAGUUUGUUUCCUUCCUUUUCUAAAUAACACUGCAAUGAAUAAAC